GACGAACGCUGGCGGCGUGCUUAACACAUGCAAGUCGAACGAAGUGGCGAACGGGUGAGUAACGCGUAAUCAACCUGCCCUUCAGAGGGGGACAACAGUUGGAAACGACUGCUAAUACCGCAUACUGAAGGAGUGGCUUGCGUCUGAUGAGCUAGUUGGCGGGGUAACGACCCACCAAGGCGAUGAUCAGUAGCAGGGCUGAGAGGAUGAACGGCGAAAUUGGGACUGAGACACGGCCCAGACUCCUACGGGAGGAAGCAGUGGGGAAGCUUCCGCAAUGGACGAAAGUCUGACGGAGCAACGCCGCGUGAGUGAUGACGGCCUUCGGGUUGUAAAGCUCUGUUAAUCGGGACGCGGUACCGGAAUAGAAAGCCACGGCUAACUACGUGCCAGCAGCCGCGGUAAUUC
rnacentral:rRNA from 1 species